GCUGGCCGUCUUAUUCGGAGUAACGCUCACCCGGGGUGGGCAGAGACGGCCGAGAAUUUGUUUGAACACAACCACCGUUUAUUCGUUUUCAAUCACUCGUGCAUUGCAGGUGUCCCAGCUUGAGGAGCGUUCUUCCACGUGGCGCCUGGGACGUGCAGGUUCUUCACCAGCUGUGGGUUCUGCCGUCUUCGACACCUGGCUCCCAAGUUCAGAACACUGAGAAGUCCAAAGACACAUUGCCAGUGAGCUGGAGACCCAGGAGAGCCCGUGACGUGGUUCCAGUCUGAGUCUGAAGGCAGGAGAAGACAGCUGUCCCAGUGCAAAGGGACUCAGAGAAGAGUCCCUUCUCGCUCAUGGGAGGUUUGGUCUUUUGUUCUACUGGGACACCUUCAACUGAUUGGACGAAGCCCACCCACACUGGGAGGGGAGAAGACAGAGCGAUCACGGCCAAUGAAGACAGAACACAGACGCGGCCAAAGAGCGUUCCACAGCACGUAGGACGGUGUGUGUUGAGGAGAGGCCAGCUUCGCCAUGGCAGCCAGGGUGGAACAGGAGCCACCCUUUUUUUUUCUCUCCUAGAGAAACGUCCGAUUCAUAGGAUGACUGAUGUGUGUCCAACAGCGAUUCUGAACCUGCCCACUUCCUUCACUUGCAAGGGGUCAGAACUCGUCUAAUCUGUCACGGCCCCGCUUCCCGUCUGAGCUAUGAUGGUCCCCUAAUGUGCCGUCUAGACAGCCGCCCCAAGAUGCUUAAAAAUGUCAACCACCCCAUUGCACAUUCUUCCUGAAAACCGUCCUACACCGUUUCGGGUUAACGGUGAGACCCCUUCCUGUGUACUAGCUGGCCGUGCGUUCAUGCACCCUACCGUCACCCCGUUCUAUUUCCCCCGGCCCUUUCCUCCGCCCCUGGCUGCGUGCAAUUUGACCCAGCUCUUUAGACGGCUCCUUUUCCGAUUCCUGGGUCACCCUAAGUGACCUGUCUCCCCACCACCUCAUGGAAACUUGCUCACCAUAGCACGCUCACAGAUACGUCUGAGGUCUUGUGGGACCCCGCCAGGCAAGCCUUUGAGGCCCACGUUGCCGGCAGUGAAAAGCAAAGGUCCUGUGAAGUCCCGAAACUGUAGGCUUAGUGGAAACCAAUGCGUGACACGUACGGGUUAUGCAAAGAGGUUGUGGUUAGGACCAUCUUUAUCU